rnacentral:lncRNA from 1 species
UGCCAAACUCCAGGAUGGUGGUGGUUCUUGUCGAUGGGGCAUGUGAGGAGAGAUAAAAUCAAAGUGGUGGAGUUGAUGUUUACCUUAUCUUCCACAAGGACUGACUAGCCGCUACCACAUUGAUAGUGGCAAAACCUCAAAAAAAACAAAAAACAAAGAAGAAGGAGAAGGAAGGCAAUUCAAGGUGUAGUCUUAUGGGGAAGAGGUGGGGGUCCUAUAGUUGGUGGAGUUUAGGGUUUUCUAGCCCUUGUCAGUAAUCUAGAAGGAUCAUUAGACUUGAUAUG